rnacentral:rRNA from 1 species
GAUGAACGCUAGCUACAGGCUUAACACAUGCAAGUCGAGGGGCAACAUUAUCGAAGCUUGCUUUGAUAGAUGGCGACCGGCGCACGGGUGAGUAACGCGUAUCCAACCUUCCCCUUAGUAGGGCACAGCCCGGCGAAAGUCGGAUUAAUUCCCUAUGUUGUCCUUUGAAGACAUCUGACGAGGACCAAAGAUUCAUCGCUAAGGGAUGGGGAUGCGUCUGAUUAGAUAGUAGGCGGGGUAACGGCCCACCAAGACGACGAUCAGUAGCCGAUCUGAGAGGAUGACCGGCCACAUUGGGACUGAGACACGGCCCAAACUCC